UAAGGAAUAUUGCUCAAUGGGAGAAAUCCUGAAGCAGCAACGCCGCGUGGAGGAUGAAGGGUCUAUGACUUGUAAACUCCUGUAAAGAAGGAAAAAAUUCCCAUUAGAUGGGAGAUGAUGGUACUUCUGGAGUAAGCCCCGGCUAACUACGUGCCAGCAGCCGCGGUAAUACGUAGGGGGCAAGCGUUGUCCGGAUUUACUGGGUGUAAAGGGCGCGCAGGCGGGAUAAAAAGUCAGUGGUGAAAUCCUACAGCUUAACUGUAGAACUGCCUUUGAUACUUUUAGUCUUGAGUUCGGGAGAGAGAGACGGAAUUCCAGGUGUAGUGGUGAAAUACGUAGAUAUCUGGAAGAACACCAGUUGCGAAGGCGGUCUCUUGGUCCGACACUGACGCUGAGGCGCGAAAGCGUGGGGAGCAAACA
rnacentral:rRNA from 1 species